rnacentral:rRNA from 1 species
AACGUAGGACACAAGCGUUAUCCGGAGUUACUGGGCGUAAAGAGCGCGUAGGCGGUUUGAUAAGUUCGCUAUGAAAGCACCUGGCUAAACUGGGUGAGGCUGGCGGAUACUGUCAGGCUAGAGUGAGACAGAGGCAGAUGGAAUUCCGCGUGUAGUGGUGAAAUGCGUAGAGAUGCGGAGGAACACCAGUGGCGAGGGCGGUCUGCUGGGUCUCAACUGACGCUGAGGCGCGAAAGCUAGGGGAGCAAACAGG